GGUUGGACAGGAAACUGCUUCAAGAUUUUAAGCUUAUUGGGUGGGGAGCU
rnacentral:ncRNA from 12 species